CUGUUAGCCCUUCCGCCCCCGGCUUCUCCCCUGGCCGUCCGCUGCUACCGGAAUCUGCCGACGGAAUCGGAAUGGAUGCGGUACAAGACACCACAUCCCUGCAGGCGGCGAUUCGAUGGCUGCUGCACACCAUCCUUCCCACCCUCGGCAAGCUGGACGGGUGGAUUCGCCAGGCAGGGCUCGGCAGCGAGGUGGAGGGGCUGAGGGACGAGGUCGAGCAAGUCGACGGGGUCGUCUGCGCCGUGAACGCCAGGUCUGAGAUGAGAAACAGGUCGCUGGCCAGAUCCCUCGCAGCCCUCAAGGAGCUGCUCUACGCCGCCGACGACGUGGUCGACGAGCUCGACUGCUACAGGCUUCAGCACAAGCUCCACGGAGGCCCAUGGCAUUGGCACCAUCAUCCCAACCAAAUUGAUGGACCAAGCAACCAGCCGCCAAGUUCUUCAAGCACCGGUGACUCCACUCAAAAUGCAACUGCUGAUAGUUCAUCCAGAAGAAAAAGGAGAAGGGGCGAGGAUUCAACAGAUGUCACCGCAGCCAACGCAGGCCCUUGGAACAAGGACCGAAUUUCGGAAAGGAUACAAGACAUAACUGGUCAGUUGCGAGAUAUCCGAGGAAACGUGCGACGUGUUCUCAAGAUGCUUGGGCCAAGGUCUCGCGCAGGUCCAAACCACUGCCAGAGUACAACCACCUCAGACCCACGCCGGGGCACAUCAGGUCUUCUUCAACGGAAAGUGUAUGGGAGAGCUGAAGAGCAGAGUUACAUCAUAGAGUUGAUAAAAGAGUGCAAAUCAGAUGCUGGACUAACUGUUCUGCCAAUUGUAGGCAUUGCAGGAGUUGGGAAGACAACUCUGGCUCAACUUGUAUACAAUCAUCAAGAUUUGAAAAGUCAAUUUGACCUCUGGAUAUGGAUCUGGGUCUCUAGCAGCUUUGAUGAAACGAGAGUCACAAGAGAGAUGUUAGACUUUGUCCCCCUGGGAGCACAUGAAGGCAAAUGCAGGUUUCCCAAGCUUCCGGAAGUCUUGAUGGAUCGUGUUAAAUCAAAGAGGGUUCUACUUAUUUUGGAUGAUAUUUGGGAUGACAUAAGUGAUUGCCAAUGGAAUAAUCUAUUAGCACCGUUUAAGCCUAACAAUGCAAAGGGCAGCGUGGUACUCGUGACAACUAGAAUACCAUCUGUUGCCAAAAAGAGAGGUACAACUGGACCGAUUAACUUAGAUGGUUUGAAAAAUGCUGAUUUCUGGCUAAUGUUCAAAGCGUGUGCAUUUGGUGAUGAGAACUAUGAAGAGCAAGUUAGUCUGGGUGAGCUUGGACGGCAGAUAGCAAAAAGGUUACAGGGAAACCCAUUAGCUGCAGAAACUGCAGGGACAUUGUUAAGAGAGCAUCUUACCAUUGAUCAUUGGAAUAAUAUUCUGAAGGACGAAGACUGGAAAUCUCUGCAACUCAGUGGUGGCAUAAUGUCUGCUUUGAAGCUUUGCUUUGAUCAGCUGCCCUACAAUUUACAGCAAUGCUUCUCAUAUUGCUCAGUAUUCCCCUACGGGUAUCUAUUUCUUGCCGAGGAGCUGGUACGUAUGUGGAUCUCACAGGGAUUUGUGAUGUGUAACCAUUCAAGUAUGAUACUGGAAGGAGCACGGUACUAUCUGUGUGACUUGGUGAACCUGGGUUUCUUUGAGAAAGUUGAAAGAAAAGAACUCCCUUCAGGCCGUACUCAAACCUACUAUGCUAUGUGUGGUCUUAUGCAUGAUUUGUCUAGGGUAGUUUCAAAAACUGAGUGUGCAGCUAUGGAUGGUCUUCAGUACAAUGAAGUGUUGCCAACCAUACAUCAUUUGUCAAUACUAAGGGAUGGUCAGACUGGGAACAUACCUGGUAGUGAGAAGUUUGAAGAAAAAAUACAGAGCAUAUUUACAUCAGUGGCAAAACUGAGGACAUUGGUGUUGAUUGGGCAGUAUGAAUCUUCCUUCUCCGAAGAAGUAUUCCAAAAUGCAUAUAAUUUGCGUGUAUUGCAAAUUUCUGCAACAUCUGCUGAUUUCCAUUCAUUCCGGUAUAGUUUUGUGAAUCUUAUACAUCUUCGAUAUCUGAAACUCGAUGGCCAUGUUGAGCAGGGGGGCUCACUUCAACUUCACUUGCACGAUGAUUCUGCUCUUCAGGAGAAUGCUACUUUACCUGCCUUGCAGAAGGUCCGUAUAGGGAAUUGCGGAGAAAAGCAAGCAAUUCUAUCGCUGGAAAAGCUUCCAUUCCUUACAACGUUGAAGUUAACCAACAUGCGGGGAGUAAGAGAAGUAUUGGUUCCGUCAUUGGAGGAACUGGUCUUAGUUAACAUGCCCGAAUUGGAGAGAUGUUCCUGCACUUCCGUGGCGGGUCUGGUCUCUAGUUUAAGGGUACUGGAGAUCCGGAAGUGCGAAGCACUUAAGGUGUUUGAUCUGUUUGAGAAAGCUCACAACUCGGAAACUCGGCUACAGCUGCAUUCCUGCACAUCUCUGGAAGAUUUGAGAAUUGAAGACUGCCGAGGGAUCAUCGCAAUAGAGGGCCUUCACCUCGUGAAACUCAGGCAUUUGAAUGUAUGCAAAAAUUCAAUAUUUCGUGGUAUAUCAGGGGAGGGCUAUCACCUAGGAUCUCAACUGGAUCUAUUUAUAAUUAGUGACUUGUCCCUCCUUACCACAUCAAUCUGCAAGGGGCUCACCUGUCUCCAGAGCCUAAUAAUUCAAUUUUUGAACUGCGAGGCCAGGAGACUAACAGAUGAUCAAGAGCGCGUGCUUCUGCUCCACAAGUCCCUGCAAGAGCUACUGUUUGAGGGUUGUGGGUAUCUUAUGCAUCUUCCUGCAGGACUGCAUAGCCUUCCUGCCCUCAAGAAAUUGACGAUCAAAAGCUGUAGCAGCAUAUUAAGGAUUCCGAAGGAGGAAGUCCCACCUUCACUAGAGGAACUGGUAAUCGAGGAUUGCAGCGUUGAGUUGUCAGAACAAUGCAGAUUGCUAGCAACAAGCAAGCUAAAGGUCAAAAUUGAUGAUGACUAUGUGAACUGAAACUGGGUGGCUUGCUAGGCACAUGUUACUACCUGCAACGUAUUACCGGCGUGUUGCUUUCUAAGAAAGCAAACCCAGUAUUUAAAUGUAAUGCUGUCACUGCCAUGUUGUAAAAGGCUGCUGUUUCGCUGCCAUAUCAGCCAAAGCAGUGAAUGAAGAUGGAGCACCUCGUUCUGCAGACCGUUCACACGUCGACACAAAGAAGCCUGUCAGAAAAUCCCCUUGCUACGCCAUGCACAAAUGUUAGGCAUACCAGAUCCAUAGGCUCGGAUAGAUGGAGUUCACGUUUUGCUUCUUCAGAAAUCAGGAUGGACAGUGGUUGAAAAAAGAAAAAAAACAGGAUGGACAAUGGUUUGAAAAGGAAAAGAAAAUAAAUCAGGAUGGACUCACCGGUACACAGAACUCUUAUCUCCAUCCUGUCAUAUGUUCAAGAUGACGUUUGUUGUUCCGUCUCUGAUUGUUAUAGUUUUCUUUUGUGAUCUGACCUGGGUGUGAACAAUGGCAAUGUCACGUUCUGAGGAGUUCAAAGUUUGAUCCGUCUGAGACUUGAUCGGUCUUCUGAAGUUGAAAUCUUCUGACCAAAGUUAAACCUAUGGCUGCCGACUACCUCACCAAGCCAUUGUCUUCCUAGCUCAAGUUAUUUUCAUUUUAAAAUAUCCUAGAACAUGAACUACUUUAUUUUGUAAAAACACAAAAUAAUUCAUUUUCAGAAGCCAUCAUCUAAGCAUAAAACAAUGAAAAGAGCACGAUGAUGAAGUGCAACAAGUAUUCAUCGUUUAUAUAAAAAAAAGACUGUUAACUGUAUCAGCAAAGUCUGUUGCUGUUGUAUGUCGAUGGCAUCAAAAGAACAAAAGAGCGUCUUCACCUCAGUGGUAUGUAUUGUGGAGCUCCUGUACAUACGCUGUAACUUUUUUCUUGCAUUUAUAUGGCUACUUGUUCUUGCAACUAAAUUGCUGCUGUAAAGAUACAUUCCAAAAAUAAUUGCACAUUUAAUCUUUUCUUUACAUGGUGCAGAAAUACAACUGUCUUCAGUAGGAGAAGGGAAGCACAUAGCAGAGCUUUGUGGUGGUCCAGAUCAUAGAGUCACAUGGGAAGGACAGACGUUCGGACCGGGUAGGAUUAGCAAGGAGUGCCGACGUACAAGUUGUACCAGUUUGGGUGCUGGGAUGGAUUUGGGAGGAAAGAUGCUUCAGCAAAAAUAGCGGCCAUCAGUAAGUAUGUUUAAUUAUUUUUUAUAGCUCCAAUUGGGUUUGGUUUGGGUUGCUGUGUCAUUAAGCAGGGGAAACAUCAUUGACCAGAAGUGUCUCUAUCCUUUGCCUUUGGCUCCACAAUGCUACACUGUUCGGGUUCAGUUCGGAUCGACAUAGUAGAUAGAUAAAGUCAGUUGUCUGCGUGUGUGCGGAUGACGACAGAUUUA